GGGAUGGCGGGCAGCGGGAAGUCCUUCCUGUCCGAGGCGGGCUAUGGUGAGCAGGAGCUGGACGCUAACUCCGCCCUCAUGGAACUGGACAAAGGUCUGAGGUCUGGGAAGCUCGGGGAGCAGUGCGAAGCCGUCGUUCGUUUUCCCCGGCUCUUCCAGAAAUACCCUUUCCCCAUUCUCAUUAAUUCAGCUUUCCUGAAGUUGGCUGAUGUGUUCAGGGUCGGAAACAACUUCCUGAGGCUCUGCGUGCUCAAAGUUACGCAGCAGAGUGAGAAGCACUUGGAGAAGAUCCUAAAUGUGGAUGAAUUCGUCAAAAGAGUUUUCUCCGUAAUUCACAGCAAUGAUCCAGUUGCUCGGGCCAUUACACUUCGGAUGUUGGGCAGCAUGGCAUCUAUCAUUCCAGAAAGGAAGAAUGCACAUCACAGUAUUCGCCAAAGUUUGGAUUCCCACGAUAACGUAGAAGUUGAAGCUGCAAUAUUUGCUGCUGCCAAUUUUUCUGCACAGUCAAAGGAUUUUGCUGCUGGCAUAUGUAAUAAAAUCAGUGAGAUGAUACAAGGUUUGGCCACACCUGUGGACUUGAAAUUGAAGUUGAUCCCUAUUCUACAGCACAUGCAUCAUGAUGCUAGCCUGGCCUCCAGCUCCCGGCAGCUGCUCCAGCAGCUGGUAACGUCGUAUCCCUCUACCAAGAUGGUCAUUGUUACUCUGCACACCUUUACUCUGCUUGCUGCUUCUUCUCUGGUUGACAUUCCUAAGCAGAUCCAGCUUUUGUUGCAGUACUUGAAGAAUGACCCCAGGAAGGCUGUGAAGAGGCUUGCAAUCCAAGAUCUAAAGUUGUUGGCCAACAAGACACCCCAUACGUGGAGCAGAGAAAAUAUUCAGGCACUGUGUGAAUCUGCUCUUCACACUCCUUACGACAGCUUGAAGCUGGGCAUGCUGUCUGUUCUUUCCGUGUUAUCGGGGACCAUUGCCAUUAAACAGUACUUCAGCACUGCUCCAGGAGCAGCAGCUACAACUGCGAGGUCAUUUGAUUUAGUAAAACUGGCACAGGAGUGCUGUUACCAUAAUAACCGUGGCAUUGCAGCUCAUGGUGUGAGAAUUCUGACUAAUAUAUCAGCCUCUUGUCAGGAAAAAGAUCUUCUGCCUUUGGAGCAGGAUGCAGUUUUUGGCUUAGAAGCUCUUCUUGUUCUUUGUAGUCAAGAUGACAGUCCAGGAGCUCAGGCAACCUUAAAGAUCACGUUAACUUGCAUGGUGAAGCUGGUCAAGUGCCGUCCUCACCUGAGCCAGUCAGUAGUUGAAUCCCUGCUGACCCAGCUACACAGCGCCCAGGACGCCGCCAGGAUUCUCAUGUGUCACUGUUUAGCAGCUAUUGCCAUGCAGCUGCCUGUCCUAGCAGAUGGGAUGCUAGGAGACCUGAUGGACCUCUAUAAAUUAAUUGGACAAUCUGCCACAGAUAAAAAACAGGAACUCUUGGUUUCUCUCGCCACAGUGAUAUUUGUUUCCAGCCAGAAAGCUUUAUCUUCAGAAAUCAAAACUGUUAUCAAGCAGCAGCUGGAGAAUGCCUCCAAUGGAUGGACAGCCUACAGGAUAGCUAGGCAGGCUUCCAGAAUGGGCAAUCAUGACAUGGCCAGAGAACUAUAUCAAAGCCUGCUCACUCAAGUGGCAUCAGAACACUUCUACUUCUGGCUGAACAGCUUGAAGGAGUUCUCUCACGCAGAACAGUGUCUGACAGGUCUGCAGGAGGACAACUACAGCUCGGCGCUGUCUUGCAUUGCUGAAGCUUUAAAAUCCUAUCACAAAGGAAUAGCAUCACUGACGGCUGCCAGUACGCCACUUAAUCCGCUGAGCUUUCAGUGUGGAUUUGUGAAACUCAGGAUUGACCUUCUGCAAGCUUUUUCUCAACUUAUUUGUACCUGCAACAGCCUCAAAACAAGUCCACCACCAGCUAUUGCCACGACGAUUGCUAUGACAUCAGGAAAUGACCUCCAGAGGUGUGGACGCAUCUCUAACCAGAUGAAGCACUCAAUGGAGGAAUUCCGGAACCUGGCUACCCGCUAUGGAGAGCUGUAUCAGGCAUCUUUUGAUGCCGACUCAGCAACUCUAAGGAAUGUAGAACUACAACAGCAGAGCUGCCUGUUGAUUUCACAUGCAAUAGAAGCUCUGAUUUUGGAUCCAGAAUCUGCAAAUUUCCAGGAAUACAGCUCGAAUGGAACAGCACAUGUUGAGAGUGAAUAUGAAAGAAGAAUGAUGUCUGUAUUUAAUCAUGUACUGGAAGAAGUGGAAUCCCUCAACAGGAAGUAUGCUCCUGUGUCUUACUUGCAUACAGCUUGUCUGUGCAAUGCUGUUAUUGCAUUGUUGAAGGUGCCCCUUUCAUUUCAAAGGUACUUUUUUCAAAAGCUGCAGUCCACAAGUAUCAAGCUUGCUCUAUCCCCAUCUCCGAGGAACCCAGCAGAACCCAUUGCGGUACAGAACAAUCAGCAGUUGGCUCUAAAGGUGGAAGGGGUGGUUCAGCAUGGGUCUAAACCAGGCCUUUUCCGUAAAAUCCAGUCCGUCUGCCUGAAUGUCUCUUCAGUGCUGCAGAGCAAAUCUGGACAAGACUAUAAGGUCUGACCUGUAGCAUUUCUGCAUGGCCAGUUUGAGAGGGCAGAGAUCACUGCAGCAGUGACCAGCCUUCCCAUCUGCUGUGAGGCGCCACCACGAGUGAGGCAGCGGAAGGGGAGGAAUGCCCUUGUGGAGCAGGGGAUGAGACCAAGCCUGCAGUGAGUUGUCAGUCUUUGCUCUGGAGUGCGUGAGGUGUCCUUGAAUGUGCCCCGAUUCGCCAGCAGCGCAUAUGGGCAGCAGCUAAGAGCAGGAGCCGCAGGGCGAGUAGCGCUGCCGGAGCCGGGCCACGCACCUCCGGGUCCGCCGCCGCCUCCUCCAGGUCCAUGAGCCGCCGCCGGCCGGGGCUG